rnacentral:rRNA from 1 species
GACGAACGCUGGCGGCGUGCUUAACACAUGCAAGUCGAGCGGUAAGGCCCUUUCGGGGGUACGACGAGCGGCGAACGGGUGAGUAACACGUGGGUGACCUGCCCUCAGCUCUGGGAUAAGCCUGGGAAACCGGGUCUAAUACUGGAUAUGACUCCAUGACGCAUGUUGUGGGGUGGAAAGCCUUGUGCGGCUGAGGAUGGGCCCGCGGCCUAUCAGCUUGUUGGUGGGGUGANGGCCUACCAAGGCGACGACGGGUAGCCGGCCUGAGAGGGCGACCGGCCACACUGGGACUGAGACACGGCCCAGACUCCUACGGGAGGCAGCAGUGGGGAAUCUUGCGCAAUGGGCGAAAGCCUGACGCAGCGACGCCGCGUGAGGGA